AGGACGAACGCUGGCGGCGUGCUUAACACAUGCAAGUCGAGCGGAAAGGCCCUUCGGGGUACUCGAGCGGCGAACGGGUGAGUAACACGUGAGCAACCUGCCCUUAGCUCUGGGAUAGCUCCGGGAAACCGGAAUUAAUACCGGAUACGACCUAGGCCGACAUCGGCCAUGGUGGAAAGUUUUUCGGCUAGGGAUGGACUCGCGGCCUAUCAGCUAGUUGGUGGGGUAAAGGCCUACAAGGCGACGACGGGUA
rnacentral:rRNA from 1 species